GCGCGUGCGCGCGCUGUGACGUUCCCUACGCGGUCGGGCGUUGGGUUUCGCGGCGCUCGCCGCACUGGUUGUUCAGCACCUUCGGUCCGGUUGAGGUUGUCAAGUCGGACCAAACAGGUUGUUUCUCUGCAGUUUCCAACAUGGCAGGGAGGUUUAAUAGACAUGGAUAAGAAGUCCACUCACAGAAAUCCUGAAGAUGCCAGGGCUGGCAAAUAUGAAGGUAAACACAAACGAAAGAAAAGAAGAAAGCAAAACCAAAACCAGCACCGAUCCCGACAUAGAUCAGUGACGUCUUUUUCUUCAGAUGAUCCUAUGUUUCCUUCUUCCUCAUCAUCGUCUUCAGGAAGCCAGACAGAUUCAAGUAUUGAAGAUGCUGCCAAGG
rnacentral:lncRNA from 1 species